UGAAGGAUGCCCAGUUCAAAUCAGAAGCCAAGAGGCCGGGGGUGGGGGUGGGGACAGAGAGACUCAACCAGCACCGGGGCCCUGGAGCCAUGGAUGAAGCCAGGGUAAGUGUCACAAACAGCAGCAAAACAUGCUCUAAAUAGCUCAGUGGGUCACAGGUGGGGAAUCCCAAGAAUGUGACUUUAAACCUACUUCCAAAUUAAGACGAGGAGCGGCAGGGACUGGCUAAAGUUCUCGAUCCAGAAAGUGUCUCACUCCCUGCCUCGCCCCUUCUCACACCUCAGAUGCUCCCUUCUCUGCCUAUGGGACUCUGAAGUCCCCGUGUCCCAACGUGCUCCCCCAAGAAACUUCCGGGGACCCCACUCCUGUGCCGCCUCCUUUCUGCACACCCAGAAACUUGCCCUGUGUCCAUGAGGAUGGCACUGGGAUGCAGAGAACAGAAGAAAACCUGACUUACAGCCACUUAGAUGACAAGGCGGAGUGGGAGAAAUGCCUUAUGGUGCCCAAGAAUAGAGAUGAGAGAAGACAGAAGAAAGAGAAUACGAAAAGUCACAACCUGCCUAUCCUCUGGACUCACUAAGUAUGGCUGCAGGUGACUUCCCUGGACCUGGGGUCGGACACGGGCAGGGAGGAGCCCGCCGGCCAGCUUGCCCUCGGAAACCGAGACAAAACAAGCCUCCCCACACCGGGUACCUUGGUUCCCUGCUUCCUCCUCCAACUUUACGGGUCACAGACAAGCUCAGCCCACAGGUCACCCUGCUGGUGUGUGGGUUACAGUGGCCGAAGUUAUUUUUCAGGAUUCUGGAGGAAACACCACCCAGGGAAAACCAUCAGUCCUUCACUUGAGCCUGAGAAGUGAAUUUCUGUCAUCAAAGGGCCAGAUCUUCACCCUCAGAUCUCGGUAAUGCUGCCAUUUUCUGAACACACGCCCUGCGAGAUGUGACAUUUGAGCACACGUGCCCAGAGAACAGGCUACCCCAUUUCUCCUUCAGUCCAUCACCUUUCCUCAUGCCUUAGAACACCCAGCUUCUUAAAUCCACAAAUGCCCUUAAACUCUGCAUUUCGGGGGCGGCAGUGGGGGGCGGGGAGCAGAUUUACACUCACUCUCCUAUCUCCGUGCAGGAAUAAACUCUCUUUUGCAAAACUCAGCUCUUCGGUGAUCUGCAAACUGUGCUGAGAGCUUGGCCCGGUAACACUACCAUCCACUACCUCCGAUCCUCGCCUCUGUAGGGAUGGUACCACCGUAAGGGUCCCCAAAAUAUAUAAGGGCAUCCCUGGGAACAAAGCAAAAAGGCACAGCAGAGCACGGCUGUGAGAAGCACCUUCGCCUCCCACGGAAUGAAAAUCAGACCCAACUCAGCUCCCAGGUCACAGACUGAAUUCACUCCAGUGAACUUACAUCUUGCUCCCAACUUCUCCACGUGGGAGAAGAAACCCAAGGCAAAGACCCACGUGUCCAGGUUCCUGAAACUCGAUUUGGACAAACCAAGUACCAAGUCAAAUAAUGAUGGUGAUAAUCUUAUUAACAAAUGAAUUAAGAGAUACUGCACAAAUGUCAUGUUAUUCUAAAUGAGAUCAAGGCAAGAAUUUAAGGCCCUUUUCCCUCCACAACACUCAGUGGACAACUUAAUAAAUUCAUAUCUGCUUGUUGGA